rnacentral:tRNA from 1 species
GGUCUCUUGGUCAAGUGGUUAAGACGCCACCCUCUCAAGGUGGAAUCGGGAGUUCGAUCCUCCUAGAGACUACCA